rnacentral:rRNA from 1 species
AACGAACGCUGGCGGCAGGCUUCAUACAUGCAAGUCGAACGGCCCGCAAGGGCAGUGGCGCACGGGUGCGUAACACGUGGGAAUAUGCCCUUCAGUACGGAGCAACGUCGGGAAACUGACGCUAAUACCGUAUAAUGUCUCCGGACCAAAGAUUUAUCGCUGAAGGAUUAGCCCGCGCCUGAUUAGGUAGUUGGAGAGGUAAUGGCUCACCAAGCCGACGAUCAGUAGCUGGUCUGAGAGGAUGAUCAGCCACACUGGGACUGAGACACGGCCCAGACUCCUACGGGAGGCAGCAGUAAGGAAUAUUGGACAAUGGGGGAAACCCUGAUCCAGCCAUGCCGCGUGAGUGAAGAAGGCCUUCGGGUUGUAAAGCUCUUUUACCCCUGACGAUAAUGACGGUAAGGGGAGAAAAAGCCACGGCUAACUUCGUGCCAGCCGCCGCCGUAA